rnacentral:rRNA from 1 species
UACGAAGGGGGCUAGCGUUGCUCGGAAUUACUGGGCGUAAAGGGCGCGUAGGCGGAUAGUUUAGUCAGAGGUGAAAGCCCAGGGCUCAACCUUGGAAUUGCCUUUGAUACUGGCUAUCUUGAGUUCGGGAGAGGUGAGUGGAAUGCCGAGUGUAGAGGUGAAAUUCGUAGAUAUUCGGCGGAGCACCAGUGGCGAAGGCGACUCACUGGCCCGAUACUGACGCUGAGGCGCGAAAGCGUGGGGAGCAAACAGG